rnacentral:rRNA from 2 species
UAGCGUCNAUUAAAGUUGUUNCAGUUAAAAAGCUCGUANUUNAACUUCAGGCCUGGCCGGGCGGUCUGCCUCACGGUAUGUACUGUCUGGCUGGGUCUUACCUCUUGGUGAGCCGGCAUGCCCUUCACUGGGUGUGUCGGGGAACCAGGACUUUUACCUUGAGAAAAUUAGAGUGUUCAAAGCAGGCCUGUGCCCGAAUACAUUAGCAUGGAAUAAUAAAAUAGGACGUGCGGUUCUAUUUUGUUGGUUUCUAGAGUCGCCGUAAUGAUUAAUAGGGAUAGUUGGGGGCAUUAGUAUUCAGUUGCUAGAGGUGAAAUUCUUGGAUUUACUGAAGACUAACUAUUGCGAAAGCAUCUGCCAAGGAUGUUUUCAUUAAUCAAGAACGAAGGUUAGGGGAUCGAAAACGAUCAGAUACCGUUGUAGUCUUAACAGUAAACUAUGCCGACUAGGGAUCGGGCAACCUCAAUUUGAUGUGUUGCUCGGCACCUUACGAGAAAUCAAAGUCUUUGGGUUACUGGGGGGAGUAUGGUCGCAAGGCUGAAACUUAAAGGAAUUGACGGAAGGGCACCACC